AGGAAGUUGUUUUCUUAGUAAUGCAGGACAAAAUCCACGUGAGUAGCGUUCAGUUGAGUGAUGUACACGAGGUAGUAGCUCAACGAAUCUCCUUCGCGUUCCCAU